AGAGUUUGAUCCUGGCUCAGAACAAACGCUGGCGGCGUGUCUUAAGCAUGCAAGUCGAGCGGCAAGGGCAGCAAUGCCCCUAGAGCGGCGGACUGGUGAGUAACGCGUGGGUGAUCUACCUUGGGCAUGGGGAUAGCCAUUAGAAAUAGUGGGUAAUACCGAAUACGUUCGUUACCGUGAGGGUAACGAGGAAAGGCGCUACGGCGCCGGCCUGGAGAUGAGCUUGCGUCUGAUUAGCUAGUUGGUGAGGUAAUGGCUCACCAAGGCGAUGAUCGGUAGCCGGCCUGAGAGGGUGUACGGCCACACUGGGACUGAGAUACGGCCCAGACUCCUACGGGAGGCAGCAGCUAAGAAUAUUCCGCAAUGGACGAAAGUCUGACGGAGCGGCGCCGCGUGGAUGAUGAAGGCCGAAAGG
rnacentral:rRNA from 1 species